rnacentral:rRNA from 1 species
GUAGGGUGCAAGCGUUAAUCGGAAUUACUGGGCGUAAAGCGUGCGCAGGCGGUUUUGUAAGUCUGACGUGAAAGCCCCGGGCUCAACCUGGGAAUUGCGUUGGAGACUGCAAGGCUUGAAUCUGGCAGAGGGGGGUAGAAUUCCACGUGUAGCAGUGAAAUGCGUAGAGAUGUGGAGGAACACCGAUGGCGAAGGCAGCCCCCUGGGUCAAGAUUGACGCUCAUGCACGAAAGCGUGGGGGGAGCAAACAGGAUUAGAUACCCUGGUAGUCCACGCCCCUAAACGAUGUCUACUAGUUGUCGGGUUUUAAUUAACUUGGUAACGCAGCUAACGCGUGAAGUAGACCGCCUGGGGAGUACGGUCGCAAAGAUUAA